rnacentral:rRNA from 1 species
GAUGAACGCUGGCGGCGUGCCUAAUACAUGCAAGUCGAGCGAACAGACGAGGAGCUUGCUCCUCUGAUGUUAGCGGCGGACGGGUGAGUAACACGUGGAUAACCUACCUAUAAGACUGGGAUAACUUCGGGAAACCGGAGCUAAUACCGGAUAAUAUAUUGAACCGCAUGGUUCAAUAGUGAAAGACGGUCUUGCUGUCACUUAUAGAUGGAUCCGCGCCGCAUUAGCUAGUUGGUAAGGUAACGGCUUACCAAGGCGACGAUGCGUAGCCGACCUGAGAGGGUGAUCGGCCACACUGGAACUGAGACACGGUCCAGACUCCUACGGGAGGCAGCAGUAGGGAAUCUUCCGCAAUGGGCGAAAGCCUGACGGAGCAACGCCGCGUGAGUGAUGAAGGUCUUCGGAUCGUAAAACUCUGUUAUUAGGGAAGAACAAAUGUGUAAGUAACUAUGCACAUCUUGACGGUACCUAAUCAGAAAGCCACGGCUAACUACGUG